GUGGGGAAUAUUGGGCAAUGGGGGCAACCCUGACCCAGCGACGCCGCGUGAGGGAAGACGGCCUUCGGGUUGUAAACCUCUUUUGUACGGGAAGAAGGAAGUGACGGUACUGUACGAAUAAGUCCCGGCUAACUACGUGCCAGCAGCCGCGGUAAUACGUAGGGGACGAGCGUUGUCCGGAAUUACUGGGCGUAAAGGGCGCGCAGGCUGUGCUGCAAGUCAGCUGUGAAAUGUCUGGGCUUAACCCGGGCAUGCGGUUGAGACUGCAGUGCUGGAGUGCUGUAGAGGCAAGUGGAAUUCCCAGUGUAGCGGUGAAAUGCGUAGAUAUUGGGAAGAACACCGGUGGCGAAGGCGACUUGCUGGCCAGCAACUGACGCUGAGGCGCGAAAGCCAGGGGAGCAAACGGGAUUAGAAACCCUGGUAGUCC
rnacentral:rRNA from 1 species